rnacentral:rRNA from 1 species
AUUGAACGCUGGCGGAAUGCUUUACACAUGCAAGUCGAACGGCAGCACAGGUGCUUGCACCUGGUGGCGAGUGGCGAACGGGUGAGUAAUACAUCGGAACGUGCCCAGAGGUGGGGGAUAGCUCGGCGAAAGCCGAAUUAAUACCGCAUACGAUCUACGGAUGAAAGCGGGGGAUCGCAAGACCUCGCGCGUUUGGAGCGGCCGAUGGCAGAUUAGGUAGUUGGUGGGGUAAAGGCUUACCAAGCCUGCGAUCUGUAGCUGGUCUGAGAGGACGACCAGCCACACUGGGACUGAGACACGGCCCAGACUCCUACGGGAGGCAGCAGUGGGGAAUUUUGGACAAUGGGCGAAAGCCUGAUCCAGCCAUUCCGCGUGCAGGAUGAAGGCCUCGGGUUGUAAACUGCUUUUGUACGGAACGAAAGCCCUCUUCUAAUACAGGGGGUCAUGACGGUACCGUAAGAAUAAGCACCGGCUAACUACGUGCCAGCAGCCGAC